rnacentral:tRNA from 1 species
CAAGACGUAGCUAAAAACAAAGCACUCAGCUUACACCUGAAAGAUACCCGCCACUCACGGGUCGUCUUGA